rnacentral:rRNA from 1 species
GGGAUAACACUGGGAAACAGGUGCUAAUACCGUAUAACACUAUUUUCCGCAUGGAAGAAAGUUGAAAGGCGCUUUUGCGUCACUGAUGGAUGGACCCGCGGUGCAUUAGCUAGUUGGUGAGGUAACGGCUCACCAAGGCCACGAUGCAUAGCCGACCUGAGAGGGUGAUCGGCCACACUGGGACUGAGACACGGCCCAGACUCCUACGGGAGGCAGCAGUAGGGAAUCUUCGGCAAUGGACGAAAGUCUGACCGAGCAACGCCGCGUGAGUGAAGAAGGUUUUCGGAUCGUAAAACUCUGUUGUUAGAGAAGAACAAGGAUGAGAGUAAAAUGUUCAUCCCUUGACGGUAUCUAACCAGAAAGCCACGGCUAACUACGUGCCAGCAGCCGCGGUAAUACGUAGGUGGCAAGCGUUGUCCGGAUUUAUUGGGCGUAAAGCGAGCGCAGGCGGUUUCUUAAGUCUGAUGUGAAAGCCCCCGGCUCAACCGGGGAGGGUCAUUGGAAACUGGGAGACUUGAGUGCAGAAGAGGAGAGUGGAAUUCCAUGUGUAGCGGUGAAAUGCGUAGAUAUAUGGAGGAACACCAGUGGCGAAGGCGGCUCUCUGGUCUGUAACUGACGCUGAGGCUCGAAAGCGUGGGGAGCGAACAGGAUUAGAUACCCUGGUAGUCCACGCCGUAAACGAUGAGUAAUAAGUGUUGGAGGGUUUCCGCCCUUCAGUGCUGCAGCA